rnacentral:tRNA from 1 species
GGAGAGAUGGCUCAGUGGUUAAGAGCAUGGACAGUUCUUCCAGAGGUCCUGAGUUCAAUUCCCAGCAACCACA